rnacentral:rRNA from 1 species
AUUGAACGCUGGCGGCAGGCCUAACACAUGCAAGUCGAGCGGAUGAAGGGAGCUUGCUCCUGGAUUCAGCGGCGGACGGGUGAGUAAUGCCUAGGAAUCUGCCUGCUAGUGGGGGAUAACGUCCGGAACCGGGCGCUAAUACCGCAUUCGUCCUGAGGGAGAAAGUGGGGGAUCUUCGGACUUCACGCUAUCAGAUGAGCCUAGGUCGGAUUAGCUAGUUGGUGGGGUAAAGGCCUACCAAGGCGACGUUCCGUAACUGGUCCGAGAGGAUGAUCAGUCACACUGGAAGUGAGACACGGUCGAGACUCCUACGGGAGGAAGCAGUGGGGAAUAUUGGACAAUGGGCGGAAGCCUGAUCCAGCCAUGCCGCGUGUGUGAAGAAGGUCUUCGGAUUGUAAAGAACUUUAAGUUGGGAGGAAGGGCAGUAAGUUAAUACCUGGCUGUUUUGACGUUACCAACAGAAUAAGCACCGGCUAACUUCGUG